AAAGCGGUACGCGAGCUGGGUUCAGAACGUCGUGAGACAGUUCGGUCCCUAUCCUCUGCGCGCGUUGGAGAAUUGAGAAGGUCUGUCCUUAGUACGAGAGGACCGGGACGGACGAACCUCUGGUAUGUCAGUUGUACCGCCAGGUGCAUGGCUGAUUAGCUACGUUCGGAAUGGAUAACCGCUGAAAGCAUCUAAGCGGGAAGCCGGCUUCGAGAUGAGUUCUCCUUGAGGUUCCCAGUAGACUACUGGGUUGAUAGGCCGGAUGUGGAAGCACAGACUAACGAUGUGUGGAGCUGACCGGUACUAAUAAACCGAUGACUUAUCCAC
rnacentral:rRNA from 1 species